AGACGGCAGCCGGCCGGGCGCCCAGGGGCAGCCCCAGGGGUCUGACGGGGCUGACGAAGCCGGUCUGCACGGCCUGGUCUCGGCGAGCCAGGCCCCGCCGGCCCUGCUUACCCUCCUCCAGCGCCUGCUGCAGCUGCUUCUCCAGCAGCCGGUUGCGGCGCUCCAACUCGUGCACCUUGGCCAGGAAGCAGCGGAAGCGGAGGUUCAGGGUCUUGAGCACGUUGAUGUUGGAGCCCAGGUCGUUGCGGAGCGCCAUGGCGGCGGGGGGCGCCGGGCCCGGCCCGGGCGGCGAGUAGGAAGCCGAGCCGGCCCGGGCGAGCGGCGCCGGGGGCACGUCCCCGCCGCCGGCCAAGUGGUCGCUUCCCACGGGGUCCCCCAGCGGCCCGGCCAGGCCUUGCUGCUCCUGCUGGAGGAGGAAGAGGUUGGGGCCGAAUAACGGAUUCAUGGCUGCGGCUUCUGCCGGGAGAUGGAGACCCGUGCAGGAGCAGGGCUGGAGGGCGAGGGAGGAGAGCCAAUGAGGCGCCAGGGGGACGAGGGGCAGCCAAUCAGACGGCUCGGCGGAAGGGGCAGAGGUCAGCGGGGCGGAGGAGGCCAGGGAGGAGGCCAAUGAAAGGCUCAUUCGGAAGCUGGCACCUGGACCGACCUUUCCGGGUCUGAGGCUGAGCCCUGAGCCGACCGGACCCCGACCCAUGCCCAGAAUCCAGCCAGCGUGGCAGGACGUAAAACCCAGGUCCUCCAGUACUCCAUGGUUCUGGUGGCACGAAAUUCACCUUCCCUACACCCCAAUUGCCCUCCUCUCCCCUGAAUCCAAACACCCGGGCUCUGACUCCAUGACUCUCCUUCCCUGGGUCCCUGGGAACUGACCUUAUUUCUCAGUAUACCACACUGUCCGCUCUCUUCAGGGGUUCCCCGUCCCACCCUCCCACCUCUACCCUUCAAGCAGCAAAGCCAGUACCCAGUCCCCUCAAAAAAACACACAGCAGCCAGAGAUUGUAAAAUGUGUAUUAAAUUUCACAUCCCCAGUGGGGAAGCCAUCCUCACAGAGGUAAGAGUUCCAACCCAGUAACAAUGGCAAUGAGCCACCCCAGUAUAGUUCAACCAUCCAUCGGAGACAGCAGGGGCUGGCGGCCGCCUCUGGACAGAGAUUUUCUCCUCUUUGCUGGUGGGGGCCGGCUGUGACCCCCCCGGUGGGGGGACAUGACUGGAGCCUUAGGUCCCCCGGGGGUACCAUUCUGUUUCUGGAAGGCAGCUUUCUUGAGAGGCUGCUCUGACACCCGCUGUUUAACCUCCUCAGCCCCUGUGGUGUUCCCCAGGGGCUGACCACGGUCCUCAGGCUUGAGAGUGGCCUGCGUCUUGGAGAGGGACGGCGCAGCAGGUGUUUCCGUGCAGGUGCCCUUAGGAGGAGCGUGCCGCUUCCGGAAGGCAGCUUUCUUGGAGGACUGCAGUUCGGGCAACUGCUGCUGUAGCUUCCCGGCUACCUUUGGUUCCCUGACCCCUGCUGCUUUUUCAGCUGGCUGACUGCUAUCCUGCAGCUUAGAGGAAGCUUGGGCCUUUGUGACAGAACACACAGUGGACACUUCUGAGUCUGUCCCUCCGGAGACACCGUUCUGCUUCUGGAAGGAAGCCUUCUUGGGAUGUUUCCGUUUCUGCAGCCGCUGCUUUGCUUGACCAGCCACUCUGGCCUUCUUGGCAGGCUGCCUGCUGCUCUCAGGCUGGGGGGUCACCUGCCCUUUCAGGUGGGGCAAGUCUAGGUUUGUAAGGGUGGAUAUCACAGAAUUUCCUGAGGUUAAAAUUAAACAGAUGGUUUGAGAAAACAGGCCUCAUCACUGGGUCUUGAUCAUUAGUGGAGGAGGUAGGUAGAGGUAUUAAAAUAAGGAAACUGCCGGGGUACUAUCUCUUGGCCAAGUGUUCCACACAAUUGGGACGGUGCCUAAGAGCAGAUUACCUGGCUUCAUAUUACUUAAUAUCACCUGGUCUUUACGCAAGUCAUAUUUGAACCCUGUAUUAAAGAGAAGGCAUCACUACCCAUCCCCAUCCUUGGGCCAAAAGGUUUUCAGAGGAAGCUGUGCCCCCUUGAGGCCAGCAGGUAACAAGACACUCUAAGGAGGAGGCGAACCCUGAAAAAACCUGAAGCACUGGGCUUUUCUUUUAAUCAGAAAAGAUAUUUUUUUCGUGCAGAGUUUGACGAGAUGCAGGAAAAUAAGAAUGCACACAGAGCAACUAGAAAAAGCUAGUCUUCAUUAAUGAAGACAUAUUAAAUAUGUAUCUUUACAGUUACAGCAAAAAAAAAAUGCAAGAAAUUUUGCUACUUCUUAAAGAGGUUUUUGUUCUGUUAACAUUCAGAUGUGACUUUUGUUAAGAGGCAUUGUUUAUGAAGAGGAAAAAAAAUCAACUCAAUAAGUCAUGUUGUUUGUGUCCAGAGAAGCCCGCCUCUCCCUCUUCCAACUCAGCUCAGGGUGGCAUCCCAGCAGGCAGAGCCCUCAGGCUUGUUUCAGAAAACCCCACCCUUCCCCUUGAGAUCAAGGCCAGACUCCUCAAGAUGGCUGAGGAAACGAUCUGCAAUUAGUGUGAUGGGCUCAGAGAACGGACAGUUCUGAGGAGUCGCGUGCCAACCCAAUGCUGACAAGGCUGGACCGGCAGAGGUCUAUUACCAGUAAGGCAACCCUCGGCCAAGAAACCACACUCGCACUGGGAAUGCGUUUAGUGCCGACCAACUGCAGCCAUUUGGCAGGAUCAAGGGAAAGACCCCACCCACGUGAACCCCGUAACACACCGAAUGGGGCCCAGGCUUGGGAACAACUAGCUGGGAUGAAAGGGGUCUCUCACCCAAGCGUGCAAAGGCCAGGAGAGGGAGGCCGAGAUCCGCCCUUCCCCGCAGUCACACCAGAAAGCCUCCUGAAGCUAUGGUAGAAAGAGCAAAGGUGGAGAGGAGAGGUACAAAGAGCACACUGCUUACCUGUUUGGGACUGGGGGAUAGAAUUGGAGAAUUUCUUGAACUUGGCAAUAAAGAAACCAUCCACGUUGUGGGUGUGAGGGUAGAAGCGGCGGGUGGAGCGCAGGGUAGGGUGGAAGCGCCUUUCCCGGAAGCGGGUGAAGCCCUCCUGGCCGAAGUCCAGGCCCGUGGGCACCAGCCGCACGUUCCUUUUUCUCAGGGCGUAGUCUACCACCCACUCAUUCUCUUCCACCUGACGUGUGGGGGAGACAGAGACGGAAGGGAAAGCGGAGCUGGAGCCGAGGGGGUGCUGGGGGGCGCCGGCGCCAGCCCUGCCCCCUCUCGCCCCACGACAGGCCUCACCAUGAUGGAGCAGGUGCAGUAGACGAGGUAGCCCCCCGUCUUGGAGGUGGCGCUGACAGAGUCAAUAGCGCUCAGGAGCAGCUCCUUCUGAAGGUGAGCGCAGCGCAAGAUGUCCUUCUCAUCCUGUCCCAGGACGGAGAGACCCACAGAGCUGGACUUUCUAAAGGGCAGGUCUCAACAUCCUGAGGUCGGGAAGGGAGCAGCCGGUGCAGGUUGCCCACGACGCUCCUGAGCCGCUCGGCGUUGGCGUCAUUGGCGAGGAUCACACCUGUGUUCUUCAUGAGCUGGGCUGAAGGGAGGAGGGCACAGUGCUCACCGGCAGCUCCUGUGCCUCCACACCUGCCGGCCACCCUCUAGCCCAAGACUCUGCCUGUGAAGUCUCACCCCUUCCCCAAAUAAGCUGCAACCCCACCGGCUACCCGGUCCGCACCGGCCCUGUGAUGAGCGAGCCCGCCAGGAUGACUUUUCUGUUACUGAACGCCCUUCUGAUCCUUCAGACUAAGUUACUUCUUCCAAGGGAUAACAGUUUAAUAAAAUGGU